UUGGUUAUUACAUUAAUAAUGAGGAGCUGAAGGAGAGGGAAAUGAGGGACUGUAAGGGUUUUGAAGGCUUCUGAUACCAAGUCCUGCCCAUGCAUGGAUAAUCUACUCUUCAUAGAAGUUACCAGGGUAUGGUUUCUCCUCGACUUUUUCCUGGACGAUAGCAAUUGGCAGCAGAUCCGCGUCGCCAGUUGGCCCUUGAGAGCGUGAGGCAGUUAGUGAAUGAAGAACAUUGGCGCUGUGAGCAAAGCACCAG